GCGGAAGUAGCUCAGUGGUAGAGCACUGGCUUCCCAAGCCAGGUGCCGCGGGUUCGACCCCCGUCUUCCGCUCCA
rnacentral:tRNA from 1 species